rnacentral:rRNA from 1 species
UACGUAGGGUGCGAGCGUUGUCCGGAAUUAUUGGGCGUAAAGAGCGUGUAGGCGGCCAGGUAGGUCAGCUGUGAAAACUCGAGGCUCAACCUCGAGACGUCGGUUGAAACCACCUGGCUAGAGUCCGGAAGAGGUGAGUGGAACUGCGAGUGUAGAGGUGAAAUUCGUAGAUAUUCGCAAGAACACCAGUGGCGAAGGCGGCUCACUGGUCCGGUACUGACGCUGAGGUGCGAAAGCGUGGGGAGCAAACAGG